UCAGUUUCUACCUCCGAUUUCUUUGCAGUUUUUAGUGCAAAGGAACCAUUAUUAUGAGAUAUUCUUUAAUGUAUGAUUACCUUU
rnacentral:rRNA from 1 species